AAGAUAAGAUAGGGUGCUUCAGCACCGAAUGUGGCAUACCUUACUCAAUUACACUGUAGGCAGGUGAGGGGUAUCACAUACUUGACUGCAGUAAGAUACAAAAUUCAAGGAUAAGCUUGAAUAACUAAAAUCCUUUAAGAGAACCAUAUGCUUACAGAAAAAUGGAAUGUAAUUAUGGGAACUAGACUUGGAAGACAUAUAUAGGUCAUUGAAAACAAAGACCCUGCACAUACAGAUGAUCUAGAAAGGGGAAAAAAAAAGACAUGACUUUCAAAACAAACUAUGAGAAGAACAUAGUCAAGAAUAUAAUACUCAUGGGCUGGCAUACCUCAACUAAAUGAAAACCUUAAAUGACAGAACCGUUGAAAUAAUCAACACCACUUAUGAUGCAUACCCUUGACCAUCCCUUGAUAAAACUGUUCAUUAUCAACUCCUGAAUGAGAAGCUGAGCACAACGCAAGAUUGGAAUGAUUGAACUAUGGAUUCAAAUUCAGAAAUUGACGGAUAAGUAAAUUGAAAGGCAUUGGAUGGUCCAAGUUGAUUUGCUAUCAUCUUUCCAGAAUCAGCUCCGCCUUAGAACGCUUUUCACAGGAGAAAUCAAAAAAUAAAGCGUUCUAUGCACACAAAGGAUUCAUCCCCAGCACAACUGUUUAAAAAUACCAAUCUUACAAGAAGGGAUCAAAAAUUUAGACAAUCAUUAGCAAGCAACAACUUAAGGUUUGGCACUCAAAAACUCCAAUCGCAUAGAACAUAAUCUCAGAAUAAUAACCAAAGCAAGAGUUUAACUAAGUAUAAAAUAUUGAAAACAUAGACAUUUAAAUGUAAAUUUGGGUAGGUGGAUAAACUACUCAGUGGUAAUCCAAAAAUUAUCCCAAAAGCUCUGAUCAAUAAAAGAAACCAAGUACUUUGCCUCCAACAUUCUUUCUCCUAGCUUCUUCAUGAUCCAUGAUACCAGCAGAUGUUGUCAGCACAAUAUAUCCAAACUGCAUAUAUUCAUUAAAAAAAUUAAAUACCCUUCAGGGUGCUAAAACCGUAUAUAUGUAACUAUAAAACAGCAUCUACAAAUAAACUUUUAAUACAAUGACAUUGUAAUGCACAUGAGCCAGAAAGAAAAGGUGCUAACCAGUUCCCAAAAACUUGACCUAAGAGACAAAAUAACACCCAUUAAACUACCUUCCAAUAGAAAACAUAAAAACAGAGUUGACACCAAACUCCUAGAUAUCCCAUUUGGCCAAAAAAAUAAAAAAAUAAAUUUCCCUAAAUUGAAAACUUUUGUUCUCUGAAACUGCAUUUUUAAGACUCACCUGUCUUGAAGGAAGCAAUCUAGCAGUCCAACCUUCAAUCUCUUUGACUCCAACAUCAAAGCGAGGACUAAUAACUCCACAUUUGUUCAACCGCCCAUUCAGUUCAACCACAAUUUUUCCAGCUCUGUGAUCAUCAACAUACUCAAACUCUCCAAUAUAACCAUGCUUCUGCAUGACCAAAAGAAACUUGAUGAUCACUUUUGAGGAUGGCCUGAUCAUAACCUGUCGUUUACCCCUCUUCUCUGCAUUAUACAUGCUCUUCAGAGCAUCAUUUAAAACACUGACUCUCACCAUUCUUCCAAAUGCAAGCUACGGAGGGCAGAAACGGAGGCUACGUCUGGUAGCUGGAAGCUUGGAGCAGUGGAAGAAGCGGCUCC
rnacentral:misc_RNA from 1 species